rnacentral:tRNA from 1 species
GCCAUGGUUCAGUGGUUGAGCAUCUGUUUGGCAUGCAGAAAGUCCCAGGUUCAAUCCUUCCCAUCUACA